CAUCUUUUUCUUGUCUCCUCCACUCUCUGGUAAACCUCCAUAAUUUUGUGGGUCAUGCAGGAUAACUCUUUUACCUUAUCAAAUCUACAAUUAGGCAUGUGCUAACAUAUUAAGUGAACAAAACAAAGGAAACAUUUCUUUGAAUAACUGCUGUUAUUACGGUUAUUUUUUAUUCCUGAUGCAAACUGAUAGUCAGUUAAAUUUUCUUUCGGAAAUCUGCUGCCCUAUGCAGUUUGCUUAUUAACAACAACAGGUUGAAAUAUAACUUCCGCUGUCUGGUGACGGGUUUCCUUUUUGAGGUAUUUUCUCAAGGUAAGCACGCGCACGCUUCUCCUCUCCAAUUGCAAAAUUAAAUUUGCUGACCUUGAUGUUUUGCUCCCUUUUCUCCUUUGAUUUUUCUUUUUCACUAAGGACGUAUUCUGUAUAACACUUCCUGUUAUACUCAUCCCACUUUUGUUCUCUCACUUGUUCUUCUUGUCUUUUUUUCUCUUUUAGCCUUAUGGCAUUUUUUCUGCCUUCAUCAAUAGCUUUUAGUAUUUCUGCUCUCAUUUGUUCUUCUUCGAGGCAUCUGGCUUUAAAUUCUCUGGCCUCUUUUUCCGCAUAAGCCUUUUCUAAUUCUGCCUCUCUUAAAGCUUUUUUAACAGCCUCUGCUUUUUGCAUUGCUUCCAGUUUUUCCGAAGCGAUGUCUGCUGUUAGCUGUCUUCUUCUUACUCUGGCCAUGGUGUGAGCCAUCGAGAGAGCCAUCUUUUUAUCAACUUCUUUUUGAACACGUUUGUCAUGUUCAUAGCGCUCUUUCUGUUUUUGAAUUUCAAGAGGAAGCAGAGGACACGUGUAGGCCCAAUGACAAACAAAUUCAUCACCCAUAACGCACUUAUUAAGGGGAUCACCGGGACAGCGAGAAAUGAUCACAGGUCUGUGAGGCUGUAAACACGUGCACCUGUGGGUGACCAGGGGGACGCUCUAAAACUCUCAGGAACCACGAGUAUAUUAGUUUAUUAUAUCGUGGACUUCACUGAGUGAAAAAGGAUGAAGAUCCAGUGCAGCUGGUCUCAGGAGAUGAUGAAAAAGCCUGAACACCUUCUCUACAACAACAACAAGGUGAGUUUAUUGUUGUGAUUGAUUUAGUUUUUGAUGGAUUGUAUGUUACUUUAAUUAUAA
rnacentral:lncRNA from 1 species